GGGUUGUGAGGUUAAGCGACUAAGCGUACACGGUGGAUGCCCUGGCAGUCAGAGGCGAUGAAGGACGUGCUAAUCUGCGAAAAGCGUCGGUAAGGUGAUAUGAACCGUUAUAACCGGCGAUGUCCGAAUGGGGAAACCCAGUGCAAUUCGUUGCACUAUCGUUAACUGAAUACAUAGGUUAACGAGGCGAACCGGGGGAACUGAAACAUCUAAGUACCCCGAGGAAAAGAAAUCAACCGAGAUUCCCCCAGUAGCGGCGAGCGAACGGGGAGCAGCCCAGAGUCUGAAUCAGCUUGUGUGUUAGUGGAACGGUCUGGAAAGUCCGACGGUACAGGGUGAUAGUCCCGUACACCAAAAUGCACAGGUUGUGAACUCGAAGAGUAGGGCGGGACACGUGGUAUCCUGUCUGAAUAUGGGGGGACCAUCCUCCAAGGCUAAAUACUCCUGACUGACCGAUAGUGAACCAGUACCGUGAGGGAAAGGCGAAAAGAACCCCGGCGAGGGGAGUGAAAAAGAACCUGAAACCGUGUACGUACAAGCAGUGGGAGCACCUUCGGGUGUGACUGCGUACCUUUUGUAUAAUGGGUCAGCGACUUAUAUUCUGUAGCAAGGUUAACCGUAUAGGGGAGCCGCAGGGAAACCGAGUCUUAACUGGGCGUUAAGUUGCAGGGUAUAGACCCGAAACCCGGUGAUCUAGCCAUGGGCAGGUUGAAGGUUGGGUAACACUAACUGGAGGACCGAACCGACUAAUGUUGAAAAAUUAGCGGAUGACUUGUGGCUGGGGGUGAAAGGCCAAUCAAACCGGGAGAUAGCUGGUUCUCCCCGAAAGCUAUUUAGGUAGCGCCUCGUGAAUUCAUCUUCGGGGGUAGAGCACUGUUUCGGCUAGGGGGUCAUCCCGACUUACCAACCCGAUGCAAACUACGAAUACCGAAGAAUGUUAUCACGGGAGACACACGGCGGGUGCUAACGUCCGUCGUGAAGAGGGAAACAACCCAGACCGCCAGCUAAGGUCCCAAAGUCAUGGUUAAGUGGGAAACGAUGUGGGAAGGCACAGACAGCCAGGAUGUUGGCUUAGAAGCAGCCAUCAUUUAAAGAAAGCGUAAUAGCUCACUGGUCGAGUCGGCCUGCGCGGAAGAUGUAACGGGGCUAAACCAUGCACCGAAGCUGCGGCAGCGACACUAUGUGUUGUUGGGUAGGGGAGCGUUCUGUAAGCCUGCGAAGGUGUGCUGUGAGGCAUGCUGGAGGUAUCAGAAGUGCGAAUGCUGACAUAAGUAACGAUAAAGCGGGUGAAAAGCCCGCUCGCCGGAAGACCAAGGGUUCCUGUCCAACGUUAAUCGGGGCAGGGUGAGUCGACCCCUAAGGCGAGGCCGAAAGGCGUAGUCGAUGGGAAACAGGUUAAUAUUCCUGUACUUGGUGUUACUGCGAAGGGGGGACGGAGAAGGCUAUGUUAGCCGGGCGACGGUUGUCCCGGUUUAAGCAUGUAGGCUGAUUGUCCAGGCAAAUCCGGAUAAUCAAGGCUGAGGUGUGAUGACGAGGCACUACGGUGCUGAAGUAACAAAUGCCCUGCUUCCAGGAAAAGCCUCUAAGCAUCAGGUAACAUUAAAUCGUACCCCAAACCGACACAGGUGGUCAGGUAGAGAAUACCAAGGCGCUUGAGAGAACUCGGGUGAAGGAACUAGGCAAAAUGGUGCCGUAACUUCGGGAGAAGGCACGCUGGUGUGUAGGUGAAGUCCCUGCGGAUGGAGCUGAGACCAGUCGAAGAUACCAGCUGGCUGCAACUGUUUAUUAAAAACACAGCACUGUGCAAACACGAAAGUGGACGUAUACGGUGUGACGCCUGCCCGGUGCCGGAAGGUUAAUUGAUGGGGUUAUCCGUAAGGAGAAGCUCUUGAUCGAAGCCCCGGUAAACGGCGGCCGUAACUAUAACGGUCCUAAGGUAGCGAAAUUCCUUGUCGGGUAAGUUCCGACCUGCACGAAUGGCGUAAUGAUGGCCAGGCUGUCUCCACCCGAGACUCAGUGAAAUUGAACUCGCUGUGAAGAUGCAGUGUACCCGCGGCAAGACGGAAAGACCCCGUGAACCUUUACUAUAGCUUGACACUGAACAUUGAGCCUUGAUGUGUAGGAUAGGUGGGAGGCUUUGAAGCGUGGACGCCAGUCUGCGUGGAGCCAACCUUGAAAUACCACCCUUUAAUGUUUGAUGUUCUAACGUUGGCCCCUUAUCGGGGUUGCGGACAGUGUCUGGUGGGUAGUUUGACUGGGGCGGUCUCCUCCCAAAGCGUAACGGAGGAGCACGAAGGUUAGCUAAUCCUGGUCGGACAUCAGGAGGUUAGUGCAAUGGCAUAAGCUAGCUUGACUGCGAGCGUGACGGCGCGAGCAGGUGCGAAAGCAGGUCAUAGUGAUCCGGUGGUUCUGAAUGGAAGGGCCAUCGCUCAACGGAUAAAAGGUACUCCGGGGAUAACAGGCUGAUACCGCCCAAGAGUUCAUAUCGACGGCGGUGUUUGGCACCUCGAUGUCGGCUCAUCACAUCCUGGGGCUGAAGUAGGUCCCAAGGGUAUGGCUGUUCGCCAUUUAAAGUGGUACGCGAGCUGGGUUUAGAACGUCGUGAGACAGUUCGGUCCCUAUCUGCCGUGGGCGCUGGAGAAUUGAGGGGGGCUGCUCCUAGUACGAGAGGACCGGAGUGGACGCAUCACUGGUGUUCGGGUUGUCAUGCCAAUGGCACUGCCCGGUAGCUAAAUGCGGAAGAGAUAAGUGCUGAAAGCAUCUAAGCACGAAACUUGCCCCGAGAUGAGUUCUCCCUGAGACUUUAAGUCUCCUGAAGGAACGUUAAAGACGAUGACGUUGAUAGGCCGGGUGUGUAAGCGCAGCGAUGCGUUGAGCUAACCGGUACUAAUGAACCGUGAGGCUUAACCUUACAACGCCGAAG
rnacentral:rRNA from 1 species